rnacentral:rRNA from 1 species
UUACGACCAUGUCACGUUGAAACACUUGUUCUCGUACGAUAACCGAAGUUAAGCAAGGUCGAGUAUGAUCAGUACCUAGAUGGGUGACCGCUUGGGAAUGCCAGUUGU